GAAUGACAACCUGUGAAUGACAGGUUAAAACACAUUAUUUCAGUAAGAGCGAUAGGUGGCGCUCUGCUAGUUGUUGGCAGUGACAGAAUAGCUGAUAUUUCUGAUUUGAUCAGAAUUAGCUUGAGGUUCCAGUUUGCCCAACUGACUGAUUUUAAGGAUUGACUGACUCCUCCCACGUCAGCUUUCACCUCCUUUCAGCUGUUUUGGCGUCAGAGUUUCUGAUGAAGAUCUCUCUGAUAGAUUUGAGUUUUAAAGUCUUUCAGUCGAUUUACAGGAAAAUGCUGACACUAUCGCCCUCUUUCCACCGGCUCUACUUCAGCAUCUCGUCUGGGCUCGGUUUCGGACUGACCGCGUUUCCACCGGCCCAACUUGGCUCUGUAGCAGGGUGCUGCCUCCUAGUGGCGGGGGGUGUAGCGCCCCGCCUCCAGGCGCUGUGUGCUGCGCUUCGUUACGAUGCGACCUAACGCGAGUUUUUCUGAUGCAAAAGAAGAAGAAAGAGCUGAGCAAGAAAAUGCGCCGGUGGGAGGAAAGCAGGUGGCUCAAACGGUGCAGAGAAACUCUGGCUGCUUCACAGAAGUCAGAGGAAAAGUAUCCAAACCUUUCCAUGAAAACAUCUCAGAAUGAUCCUUUCUGACCCAGUCACUGUCUCCAGACUCAACACGCUGACCCUAAUCCUGAGAACGCCUGCUGAGGCUCCAGAUUUGAGCCGGUUUGCAGCCUGAAGAUGGAUCCUUCAUGAACUUCAGCUGGACGACAGAAAGACUUUAAGAAUCCGUCACGUGAAGGAAACUUGUAAAUCAUAAAUCCCUUUUAUCCUGAAUCAAGGCGGCCAAAUCACCAGCUGAUCUCUGAACACUAAAGUAUUCUACUUUUAUUUGUUCUGAUCCAGUUUAGAUUGGUUCCUGCCAUCAACAAACAGUGAGGAAGCUACUCCUCAAGCAGCACAUAUAGAGGCACAAAGUCCCUCCCUUCCCCAAAUGGGGGAAUAGUUUAGAGGCAGAUAUUUGUCUCUGAAGAUUCCACACAUCAUCUGCUGCAGCGAUUGGGCGGACCACCUGUGGGCUGGAAGAUGUCGACUGCCUGCAGCGUUUUCAUUUGGCUGUAAGGAACGAAGCCAACAAAGCGUUCCCAAUACUCCAGACUCCAUCGCGGAAUCAGUUUCUCAAAGGGAGCCGUCUCACCUGAAAGGUUUGGAUGACAAAAGUUCAUCACUGGGGCUCCGCCCCCUACCCAGACUCUCCCUCUGGCCAUUAGAUUGCUCAACAAUCCCAUCACUAAGACUGUCUGAGACUGCUUGAAAAUGCUAAGUUAUAUAUAUUUAGCAAUUUAAGUCCAAGUGUUGUAAAAUGGAGCCAUUUUGUUCCACUGCUUUGGUUCAGUUAAAGUUUAAGCAAAGCUGAGCUGAUCCUGAAAUAUUUCUCUGAAUUAUAUCUCUAUGGUUCUCUGCCCAUCAGGAGAGAGAGCAACAUGUUGACAUCUCAACACCAGACACCUAAAGACGUUAGAGUUUUACUGUUAUUGUUGCAAACUGGAGAUUAAAAAGAUGCUUCUGAAGACUUUCUGCAGCAGUGAGGGUGUUGAUCUGGUGAAGGAGCAUCUACGCUCUAACGUAGAUCAGGGGAUCUAGAUCAGAAUGGAAAGAACCAGAUCUGGAGUCCAAGUAUCUGAAGGGAGUCAGACCCUGGUCUAAUCGAGGAGCUUCAGCUGCUUCAGCUGCUGCAGGCGUUCAGAUGAAUCAUGAUGGCCAGAGGCUUAUUUCAAGGAGGAAGAUUUCUUGUUACAUGAAAACGUCUCCAUGGUAACAGUUGUGUUGUAAUUAUUUGACUCAGUCUUGCUUACACCA